rnacentral:rRNA from 1 species
GAUGAACGCUGGCGGCGUGCUUAACACAUGCAAGUCGAACGGGAAACCUUUUAUUGAAGCCUCGGCAGAUUUAGCUGGUUUCUAGUGGCGGACGGGUGAGUAACGCGUGGGUAACCUGCCCUAUACAGGGGGAUAACAACCAGAAAAGGUUGCUAAUACCGCAUAAGCGCACAGGGCCGCAUGUUCCGGUGUGAAAAACUCCGGUGGUAUAGGAUGGACCCGCGUUGGAUUAGCCAGUUGGCAGGGUAACGGCCUACCAAAGCGACGAUCCAUAGCCGGGAUGAGAGGGUGAACGGCCACACUGGAAGUAAGACACGGUCCAGACUCCUACGGGAGGCAGCAGUGGGGAAUAUUGCACAAUGGGGGAAACGCUGAUGCAGCGACGCCGCGUGAAGGAUGAAGUAACUCGGUAUGUGAACUUCUAUCAGCAGGGAAGAUAGUGACGGUACCUGACUAAGAAGCACCGGCUAACUACGUG